rnacentral:rRNA from 1 species
ACCCGCACAAGCGGUGGAUGAUGUGGAUUAAUUCGAUGCAACGCGAAAACCUUACCUACCUUGACAUGUCUGGAACCUUGCUGAGAGGCGAGGGUGCCUUCGGGAGCCAGAACACAGGUGCUGCAUGGCUGUCGUCAGCUCGUGUCGUGAGAUGUUGGGUUAAGUCCCGCAACGAGCGCAACCCUUGUCAUUAGUUGCCAUCAUUUAGUUGGGCACUCUAAUGAGACUGCCGGUGACAAACCGGAGGAAGGUGGGGAUGACGUCAAGUCCUCAUGGCCCUUAUGGGUAGGGCUUCACACGUCAUACAAUGGUCGGUACAGAGGGUUGCCAAGCCGCGAGGUGGAGCCAAUCCCUUAAAGCCGAUCGUAGUCCGGAUCGUAGUCUGCAACUCGACUACGUGAAGUCGGAAUCGCUAGUAAUCGCAGGUCAGCAUACUGCGGUGAAUACGUUCCCGGGUCUU